UGAUCUUCAGCCGCAACUGCUGCAGCUCGGGCUCGCUCAUCGACUUCUUGUCCCUCUUGGCCGCCGCCGCGGCCGCCGCAGCAGCCGCCGCCGCCGCCUUGAAGGCGCCCAGCUUGUCCCCAGCGGCCGCGGCCAUGGCCAUGGCGUUACGGAGCUCCGCGCUCAGUUCCGCGGGGGAGUCGCUCAUGGUAGAGGAGGACACGGCCGCCGAGAAGGCGCCGCCCCCACCUCUCCGCGAGUGCAGGAAAAUGUCAUCCACCUCCGGGGAGGAAGCUCGGCUGGAGCCCAGGCUGGCGUCAGAAUCCAUGCGAAUCUGCAGGGAAAGAAAUGAUACAAUCAGAUCGAUAACUGCGACCGUCAUAAAUGAAGAGGCAGCACAGUGCGGGAUUCACGCACAAGGAAGGAGCAUAUACAGAAUAAAAUGCAUCAGAUGUGGGAUCGCCCCAUCAGAAGGUGACAAUAUUGCAACCACGUGACCUAGUCCAUAGAAAUUUCCACGCUCACCCAAAAACGUGCACGUGAUGUGGACAGAACUUGGACACCAACGUAUCUCCGCACUUCUGCAACAAAGCCUGUUCCACCACAGAUCUCGAUUCAUGUGAAACUACACAGCUCAUCUCUCCAGUCUCCUUUCCGCAAAUAUUAUUGCACUGCGCUUCAUCGUCAUAAAUGAU